rnacentral:rRNA from 1 species
UACGUAGGGGGCGAGCGUUGUCCGGAUUCAUUGGGCGUAAAGAGCUCGUAGGUGGUUCGGUAAGUCAGGUGUGAAACCUCCAGGCUCAACCUGGAGACGCCACUUGAUACUGCUGUGACUGGAGUCCGGUAGGGGAGCGUGGAAUUCCUGGUGUAGCGGUGAAAUGCGCAGAGUAUCAGGAGGAACACCAGCGGCGAAGGCGGCGCUCGUGGGCCGGUACUGACACUGAGGAGCGAAAGCGUGGGGAGCAACAGG